AGCAGGAUAUAUCCCAUGAUUUAAGAUUCCAAAAGUGUUACAGUAAAUUAGAAGAACAAGCUCCAGCCUAAAUUGUGGGUAAUCUCAAUGAGAGGAGAGAGGCACCUUCAGAUUCCUAGGUGAGCAUGGUUUUCCUAGGAGUCGAGAAUUUUAAAGGAUUGAUACAAAAGGGGGAGGGAGCACACUUUCCCUAAAAUGCAUGCAGCAGCGUUGGUGACAGUCUACAAGAACAGUGUUUGAAAGCUCAUGCCAGGAAGGAACUGCAAGUCAGAGCCUUUCCAGUAAAGGCUGAAGGUAUUUUUAGAAGUAAGGGUGGGAUUGACUGCCUUUAGGGCUGGGUGAGGACCAGCUGCAUGAUUUGCAGGGCCCAGAAUCUAAGUGAAAGUCCGAGUUCCCUUGUUUAAGAAAGUCUUAAUAAUUUCAAGAUGGUGACAGCACAGCAUUAAACCAAGCGUGGGUCCUUCCUUGCCCAGACCACAGGCUGGAAGGUCUAGAAGCCUGCCUCCCGCGUGGCCCAGCCCUGCUUCCCCUGAGGUCUGAAGGGAGGUCCCAAGGGCACAGCACAGCAGAGCAGGUGCUAUUCAGUUCCUCUUUCCUGUAAGUGCCUCCCCAGGGCUCGCUGGCACACCUCUGCAGUGCACAGUUUAGGCUCAGGGCCAAGGGGGAGUGAGGGUGUGCUGGAGGUUUAUGUAAACAGAGUCAAAGAGCAAAUGGCCGGUCUGUGCAGAGGACACCAUCCCAGGCACUCCAGUGACCCCUCGCACCACUACCUCAGAAGCCAUCAGUCUGAUUAGUCUUCUCCUCCUGGAGGGGAUUGGGAUGGAGCAAGGUUUAGUAAUCUUCAAAGUCGUAACAAAGAAAACAAAUCGAAGCUAGAGUUUGUGAGGGCAUCGGUGAGAAGGCAGAUGUCCUAAUCAAUCUGCCUAGAACCAGGUGAGAUGCUCUCUGGGACAGUGAAGGAAUCUGUGCAUAUGCUCUGAGGACUUAGAAGUUGGAAAUGGGCUGUUGGCCCAUUGGAACCAACUGCACGGUGGUGCAAGAAGUUUGCAGAGAUCUGAGUAAGAGUGAGGCGCUGGGAGAGGCCUUCUGUCUGAUCUGUAGAGUCCUCAACAAGAGGUGGGCCUGGAGGCCCCGCUGGCGGUAAAUCAGUGGAAGGCAGCAGAACUCUCAUGUCCUUGGGAACAAGAUGAAGACACAGGGAUGGGGGAUGACUCAGAGCUGGAACCAUCCUCAGUGCCGUGAGCAAAAGCGUCGGAGUCGACCCAUCCAGGAGUCUCUGUGGCACCUCUCCAAGCUCUACCCAUCGCUGCCCUUCAUUGGUAAUUUGCACGUUAGCACAGAAGUGCGGGUGGAGUUAGAAAAUGACUCCAACCUGGGAGGGAGAGAUCGGCGCCCUAACUAAAGCUCUGACUUCACGUGUUGGCAUCUUGGUCUCAAACCAGCAGGUGGACUGAAUAAACGUAGAGAUGCA